rnacentral:lncRNA from 1 species
GUUGGCAAUCCAACACCUUUCUUAAAAGCCUACUCGAGUUGUCUAGAUAUCGAUUCCAUUUAAACGCAUUUAGCAAUUUAAAACCAAACAACCAUAAUCAUUGACUCAAACUGAUGAAGCGCUAACCAUUUGGAUUCCAAAUUUAAAAAUCAGAUUACUCUACCUAAAGCUAGUGAUAACUCCUUGAACUCCAUAUGUGACCACUACUGAUUUUAACCAUUAACAUGUAAUUAUUUAUAUUUACAGUGGAACAAUGAGCUUAACGAGACAAAAGAGAUGGCACUAACACCUGCAUGCUAAUACCAGAUUGAAAAUGAAAGUGAUGUCAGGAUCAAAUGCAUAUUUCUGGAUUUAUUAUAAAUUCAGUUUAGACAGUCCUAGUUGAUAGAGAUAUUAUACAAUUUCAACAUGAAUACGAAUAUAAAAACUGUGUACAAACUGAAGCAAAUGAAUAACUGGCACUUUAUUUUCUUUUCAAUUGACUAUAUUAAGCUGAGAUCACAAAACAUCACUCAUAAUCAGCCGAGUACCUGGAAUUGGAAUAAAACGAAAGAGAAGAGAUCAGCUAGGGCAAUAAAUCAAGCAGCAACAGCAGCAAGAAAUUUCCACUACUAAUGAGGCACCAGUUUAAAAACCCAAAAGCAAUCAACAAAUGAGGAACAGUAGCACUGAACUGGUUCUAAAGCCCAAACAAAUCGAAACCAAACUGGACAGAGCAAGCUACUACUUGACUGAUCCAACUGAACUUGAAAAUUCACCAAAAGUGCAACCUCAAUAAACCAGAGGCGCAGCUCGACGACCACUGAUUCCUAGAGAAGAACAAUCAGAACUCGUAAUUAGAUUAGGAACUCCAAUGUAGCAGUUUUUUUUUUGUAUUUUCAUCGCUUUCUCUGUAUUGUUUUUUUUAUUUUUAUUUUUCUACAGAUCUCAUAUCUAAGAGAAUAUUAGGACUUUUGAAUGUGAAUUUCAGUUGAUGAACACUUGGGGAAAUUGAAUGAAACAGUGCUCCCAUUUUGUUUUGAAAUUUUCUACAGGUUUUCUAAUUUUUUGUUUGGCUUUUGAGUUUCUGUUUUGGUUUUGGUUUUUUUGAAUUCGAAAGCUAAUUUAGAUUAAAAAACAACUAGCAUGGAAAUAGUAUAUGGGAGCUAAUAGUGGCUGAAAAUAUCCUCCUUCACAAGGCAAAUGUGAUCUUAUUUAUAGGUAAAUUCAAGUUUUUUAAUUACCACUCAGAUCCUUAUUCAAUUUUCACUUUCAUUUCCUAAACGUUCUAACUGAUUUUGCAAACUAACACCUUUUUAAUGAUAUUCCAUUACGACCCUCAAAUCUAGAAGCUUCUAAGGUAUUCUAGCCUAAAUUCCUUAUGUGUAUUUCCUAUCAUACCUUUACCCUUUCCCUGAACUAACUCAUGUUUAACUGAAGUCUAUCAAUUAUGACUAAUGACUUAGGGUCUGAAUUAAUGGACCAAAGUAAUGAAACAAAUAUCAAUCAGCAACAAACUAACAAACAAACAUAUUAAUCCAAAAACACUAAGUACUACUCUAUUUAUCACUAACAAUUGCACUAAUUAUAACUGAAUUAAUCUUCGAAGAAACUAAAACAAUCAAAAAUUAGGAUCUAAGUACUAAACUUGAAUUAAACAUAAACAAACAAACGCAUGGACAAGCAAAACACAUAUGAAAUAGAAGAAAAGAGGAAAAGAAACAGAACACUUAUCUAACUAAUUUUAAGAUUUUCCAGUGUAUUUUGAGCAACCAAAAUGAUGAAAACAUCACGAGGAAGAGGAAGGAAUCAUACAGUGCCAAUUUGAAACAAUUCUGAGCACCUAGGAUUUUGACCGGAGGAACUUCAACUUGAUAUUCGACCGAUUACAGCCACAUUCGAGGAAAACGGUUUUGGGGGUUUGAGGGAGGUUUGGGUGUUGUGUGGUGUGAUUUUGGGCCGGUUUGGACAAAGUUUUGACUUGGCCAGAAAACGUUUCGACGAAGAUUCGAGGAGUUCUGGUGAGAUUCAAAGGAAACCAAGGGUGGGAAUGAGAAGAGGAUGAGCAAGGAAAUUUGUGGUGUGAAUUUGAGACGGAUUGGUGUAGGUAUCGUUCGCCACUGGCGAUGGUCGUGUAA